AUAGCAAUGACAUAGGGGGUUAUUUUUUACGAUGGUGAGAAAAAAAUGUUAAUUUUGAAGUGCCAAUCGACCAUUUUUUCUAACUCUGACAAAUUUUGACGUUUGUCAAAAAUCAAAAGUAAACAAGAUGUGCGCGCCACAUAAUAAUACAGGAAAAAGCCUGAAAAUAAUAAUUAUUUGUGAAAUGAAUAUUUUUCCAACAUAUUUCCCAUUACUGCUAGCAGUUAUAUUGCAAAUGCGAACGUUGCAAUAUGGAGAUAUUUUAGGUCUAGCUUUGGAAAAGAGGAAAACACGGCUAGAAGUUUUGUAUAAGGAACCUUCUUCACGAACCAUUACUUCACGAAAAAUGAAUGCAAAUGCAAAUUUGCUUCUAUUUUUUACAUAAAUAUGAUGAACGAAAUAUGAAUAGAAAAAACACUACACGGCGGCGCUUUAAUUUCAUUAAACUACAAACACAAAACUGUACUUUUGUCAAUUAUUGUUAAAUAACUACCUUUUAGAAUUCCGCUGCCAAUGAUAAUAAACAAUAACUUUACUCAUUUUAUGCCGUACGCAAGUUGGUUACCAAAACGCAAAUGAAUUUACAAUUACUGACAUGGGACUUUGCUCAACGUCAAAAUUUGCUGUGCUGUCAAAAAUCUUACUAGCCCCUGGGCUACUCAAAAAUUAUUCAUCACGCUUAACGUCAUAUUUUUACUAUCCCUACAACUUUGCUGCUUUAAAAUCAAUUCAAUAAGUAAAUGGCGUUAAGAACUAUUCAUGACGGUGGUAAUGGGGUUCUAAUAACUAGACAAAUGUAUAAUUAUGCAAAAGACGGCAAGAACAAAUAAAAUAAUUCAAAUGCGAUCGUUAUUGACCCAAUGCAGUGUGAUUAUUGCUCCAGCUCCUCGCUUAUAUCGACAUGCCCGAAAAAGGCCGUCCCAAAAAUGGUUUCUUGGGCAAAUCGCAUGUUGUCUUCCUUCUUUGGAAGUCACAAGAGUGGAGUAACGCUGGUGGCAGGAUCAGAAAUCGACGGCAUCUGCCCAGAGGGUGCCGAGUCAUCAAAGUUCAUGGUAGAUGGGAGAGACAAAUUCAAUUAACAGCGUCACGAAUAGAAAUGCUAAUCAGAUUGGGCCAGGAAAGAGUUAGAUGUUAUAUUUUUAUUUUGCUCGUGGAAGAAGCACAAUUUUGUGAACAGGAGGGGUAAUCAUACCGUUUUGAGUUCUUAUGUCGACAAUUCGUACCUGGAUGUCACGACCAGUAUACAAUUUUACAUUACAAGUGGAUUCGUUUAGUAAAAGGACUAAAUCGUUAAGAACCAGUUUCUCCUGGUUGGAUUUCCAUUUGAAUAGCUUAUGGAGCUCCGUCAGGUACUCGAAUUUCCACCAACGACAAAAUUCCUGCUAGAUAAUAUUGCGAAUUUAGACAACAUUCGAUGGAGGUGCGUCUUACAACUUUUCACACCAGCCCUCUCAUAUGCGGGGUAGCAGCCGGUAUGAAAUGCCACUAUACUUGUUGAAACCUGUAGCGAGAAAGAACUUCAUCACGUAACUCAGACACAAUUUUUUUGGAGUUAGAGUUUAAUUCUCUUGCAGCACCCACAAAAUUUCUCCCGUUGUCCAAGUAUAUUUUCCUGCGGGCACCCUGGCGAGAGCCAAAUCAGAAUAAAGCAGGUAGAAAGGCUUGCGUCGACAGAUCACUUACGGGAUCAAGAUGGAUAACUUAUGUAACAAAACAAACAAAGAGACAAAAAUACCCUUUAGUAAGCCGGCAUCCUGGACCACGAAAGUUCUUAAGAAGUCGACUCCUGUCGUUGCAAAGGGUCGGCCAAAUAUUGUCCUCUUUUGGGGAAAAGGAGCUAUUAUUUAGCCCUGGCGUGUAUGUCUCGCUAUAGUACACUUCUUGCAAUGACUUAUUCGGGUUUUUAUAAGAUUCUUGGCCUGUAUUAUCCAACACUCAAGUCAGACUGUUGCCAGAGUCAAUUGAAUACCCCCAUGAAAAGUGAAUUUAUGAAUAAAGUCAACAUACAGUUGCGCGUACCGGGUUUGGUAUGCCAGAACGA